UACAGAGGUCUCAAGCGUUGUUCGGAUUCAUUGGGCGUAAAGGGUGCGUAGGCGGCGCGGUAAGUCGGGUGUGAAAUCUCGGGGCUUAACUCCGAAACUGCAUUCGAUACUGCCGUGCUUGAGGACUGGAGAGGAGACUGGAAUUUACGGUGUAGCGGUGAAAUGCGUAGAUAUCGUAAGGAAGACCAGUGGCGAAAGGCGGGUCUCUGGACAGUUCCUGACGCUGAGGCACGAAGGUCAGGGGAGCAAACGGG
rnacentral:rRNA from 1 species